UACGAAGGGGGCUAGCGUUGCUCGGAAUCACUGGGCGUAAAGGGUGCGUAGGCGGGUCUUUAAGUCAGGGGUGAAAUCCUGGAGCUCAACUCCAGAACUGCCUUUGAUACUGAAGAUCUUGAGUUCGGGAGAGGUGAGUGGAACUGCGAGUGUAGAGGUGAAAUUCGUAGAUAUUCGCAAGAACACCAGUGGCGAAGGCGAACUUACUGGACACAUAUUGACGCUGAGGUGCGAAAGCGUGGGGAGCAAACAGG
rnacentral:rRNA from 1 species